GGUCUGAUAGCAUAGCGGUUAAUGUGCCUGCUUCUUGUUAGUUGGUUUACAUGAAGCUAAUAAGCAGGAGGCCCUCGUUCGAAUCGGGGUCAGGUCA